CUUCAACAGUCUGGUUAAUGGUAGUACUGUUCAUGUGAAUGAGAAAACAUAAGGAAAAACAGAUACAUCUGAUGAUGUGUUUAGGUUGGUACAUUUGGUGCUUGUGAAAUAUUCAAAAGUAAAAUGCCCAAUUAGCAUAAGACUCUAGAGCUUAAUAAAAUAUGGAUAUAAUUGGGGAUCUGGGCAGACAUUAGUCAGACAAUAGCUUACAAUGUAAGAUGUAAUGGAAGCCAAGGGUAGAGAGUUUGUAGAGUAAGGAUACAUGAGAGCCCAAAACAGAAUCUGGAGGAACGCUCGUGUUUGAGUGAUUUACCCUAGAAUCUAAGAAGGAACAGCCACAGAAAUCAGGCUAAUAUCACUGGAAGAGAAUGUCUCUAGAAGGAAGGUGUGAUCCUCAGUGUCAAUGCUACAGAGAGGCUAAGUAAUAAUCUAGAAAGUACUUAGUGGAUUAAAGAGCUAUGAAGUGAUCUUGAUGAGAGUAGUAUCAGUGGAAGUAGGGGACGGGGCGGUGGGGGGCGGGGGAGGACAGUAAGGCAGAAACCAGAUUGUGGAAUGAGGAUACUUUCACUUGAAAGGCUGCAGACAACUCUUUCAAGAAAUCACUAUGAGAGAGUGAGGUUGCGAAACCACUUGAGAGAGAGUGAGGUUGCUUGAGGGAGAUAUGUAGGCAAGAAGGUUGAUUUUAAAAGGUGAGAGACACUUAAGCUUAUUUAAAAGCUGAUGAACAGGAAUCAGUUGAGAAAGAGAUUGUAAAUAGUAGAAAAAAAUUGUAGGUAAUUUAUCAGUUGAUGUCUCAAAAGAGGCAGGAAAGGAUGGAAUUCGAAGUGUAGAUGUAGACUUUAUUAUUAGAUAAGAGAGACCCUCUUUUGGCCAGUUGAAAAAAAAGAUACUGGAGGACAGUGACAUCUUUG
rnacentral:lncRNA from 1 species